rnacentral:rRNA from 1 species
UGAGGAAUAUUGGUCAAUGGGCGCAAGCCUGAACCAGCCAUCCCGCGUGCAGGAAGAAGGCGCUAUGCGUCGUAAACUGCUUUUUCAGGGGAAGAAAAUCCCGUACGUGUACGGGACUGACGGUACCCUGUGAAUAAGCAUCGGCUAACUCCGUGCCAGCAGCCGCGGUAAUACGGAGGAUGCGAGCGUUAUCCGGAUUCAUUGGGUUUAAAGGGUGCGUAGGCGGAACGAUAAGUCAGUGGUGAAAUUCUGCAGCUUAACUGUAGACGUGCCAUUGAUACUGUCAGUCUUGAGUAUGGUCAAGGUAGGCGGAAUGUGUAAUGUAGCGGUGAAAUGCUUAGAUAUUACACAGAACACCGAUUGCGAAGGCAGCUUGCUGGGCCAUUACUGACGCUGAUGCACGAAAGCGUGGGGAUCAAACAGG